rnacentral:sRNA from 1 species
AUAGUUUCCUAGCAUUGUCGCAAAACAUUCAAUGAUCUAAUAAAAGCUUCGCUGGUUUAUCAGGUGCGAUGGGCGCUGGACUUUGAACCCUAUGUAGUUGUUGCCAAAGACAUUCCACUCUAUGACCAGAGGUUCCUUGGUUUUGGCUGGAACAAGGUCUCUCACAUCAUGGAGCUAGAUGCUCAAGGAUAUGAGUUUGUUGUCCUUCCCAAUGCAUUUAUUAUUCAUAUGCCUCACGCCCCAAGUUUUGACAUUGCCAAGUUCAGAUCUAGUUCCUUGUAUAGGAAAUGUUUAAAAAUAUUGAAAGGCGAAUUUCAGCGAGACCUUUCCAAGAAAUACGGAAUUAAAGCAUUGAAAUAUUUGUCUGUGGAUUAAGCUCAGGGAAUCAACCGUUAUUUUGAGAAUCUCUAGUCAGGAAAACAUCAAGAUUCUUGUACAGACAUUUUAGAACUGUGUUCUAGGAGGUUGUUCUGAGAUUUGGAACUGUUUUCUGGGAGGUUAUUCUGAGAUUUUGACCUGGAGACCUUGUAUGUGCUCAAAACAACUGCCCAAACCUUGAUAGUGAGAUUAUUUGUAAGAUUACUUAUAGCUAGUCAACUAUCAUUUUUUAAUCGGGGUAGGACUACAUUUAAACAUUUCCUCUCAGCAUUAAAUAAUGUUUUACACAUUUAGUCAUUGUUGGUGUUAUAGUAAACUCAUGGAACAUGAUUUCCAACUUCUGUAUAACUUUUAUGUGUUUAUAGCUUUUAUGAUUUUAUAACUUUUAUAGCCUUUAUGUUCUAACUCAAAAUCCAGAAAAAAUGCUGGCUAUCUGACUCUUGCCUUCUUGUCUUGCUUAUAGCAAGAAUGCCCUUUGAAAUGAUUUGAUGUGUAUUAUUUAGCAUAAUAAUGUUUAAUUAAUGUAAAGAAAGCCCAUGAAUACAUUCAAGUCUGCUAAAUGAUAUUUUGAGCUUAAGAAAUUGUUUGAAGAAAAAUUUUGUGGCUA